GACGAACGCUGGCGGCGUGCUUAACACAUGCAAGUCGAACGGAAAGGCCCUGCUUUUGUGGGGUGCUCGAGUGGCGAACGGGUGAGUAACACGUGAGUAACCUGCCCUUGACUUUGGGAUAACUUCAGGAAACUGGGGCUAAUACCGGAUAGGAGCUCCUGCUGCAUGGUGGGGGUUGGAAAGUUUCGGCGGUUGGGGAUGGACUCGCGGCUUAUCAGCUUGUUGGUGGGGUAGUGGCUUACCAAGGCUUUGACGGGUAGCCGGCCUGAGAGGGUGACCGGCCACAUGGGGACUGAGAUACGGACCAGACUCCUACGGGAGGCAGCAGGGGGGAAUAUGGCACAAUGGGCGGAAGCCUGAUGCAGCAACGCCGCGUGCGGGAUGACGGCCUUCGGGUUGUAAACCGAUGUCGCCUGUGACGAAGCGUGAGUGACGGUAAUGGGUAAAGAAGCAACGGCUAACUACGUG
rnacentral:rRNA from 1 species